GGGGCCUAGUGGUUAGAGGCAUGCGCCUCGGAUGCGUGAGAUCGCGGGUUCGAACCCCGGCAGAAUCA